rnacentral:lncRNA from 1 species
GAAAACACCACAUGUUCGAGUUUGCAAAUUGGACUAGGCUAGAUCCUGCUUCCUUUCUAAUUCCCUUUACAACCAUCAUAUUUCUCACCUUCUCCACGUCAUCCCAUCUCUCUUGCGCAGCAUAUAUGUUGGAUAGAAGCACAUAGGAUCCAAUAUCCUCUGGAUCCCUCUCAAUUAAUCUCUUGGCUAUGAUCUCGCCAAGCGCAGCAUAUAUGUUGGAUAGAAGCACAUACGAUCCAAUUUCCUCUGGAUCCCUCUCAAUUAAUCUCUUGGCUAUGAUCUCGCCAAGUUCCACAUUUGAGUGGGUCUUGCAAGCUGAAAGCAAAGCUCCCCAUAAUGCC